UAUCCAGAGAUCACUCCUCUUGGAGCCCUUUGGUGAGCUCAGGACACAGAGCAGAGCAAUUGGUGCUGAAUGGCAUGGAAAAUAGCUACUGGAAAGCAGAGCCCUUUGAGGUUUCAAGAUGUGACAAGCAGGAACAACCUGGAGGUCAUUAUUGGAUUCAUCCUGUGCCAGCACCCAGGAGACCGUGCAGAAAUCACUGUCCAGACUACUGAACUGUUCAAACAGUCCUGUGUGUGAUUGGCUAGCAGGUAAUCGCCAGGUAAUUUCUGGGAGUUUAGGAAUUAAUACUGGAGAAACUGCCAACCAUGGCAGUUUGGAUGUGAGCAUCCUACUUCCAGGCCAUUUGAGUGUGACCAGACUAUGCCAGCUGGUCUGAGGAUGAAUGAAGGGGCUCUGGCAUUACCUCAGGGCAUCAAUGUUGGUUUUUAGGCUUCUAGGGAUAUGAAAUAGUUGCGGAUUUCUACUGGAGUGUAAGGUAACAAGUAACUGGAAAGUGUAAUUAAAUUGUCUUUGUUACAUAUUUUCUCCUGGGACUUAAACUCCCCCAGUGUUACUUAAUUACUGUUGCUUAUUAUUCAUUCACUAAACAAUCUCCUGGUUCCUCUGAGAUUAUUUCUGCCACCUUUACCAAAGAUUAAUGGUCCAGGCAGUGAUUAUAAUUUUAUUAUCUAGUAAUUACUCUGUAAAGUAAUUGAGUCUACAGCCUUUCAUCAUAUGGUGAGAUCUUCCUACAAGUUGCUUUUUGUUCAUGAAGAAGGGGGAGAGAUCAUUUGAAAUGAUUCUACAAUACUAUCUUCAAAAUCAUACUGUUAUAGUUUCUUCAGUAACAACCUCAGACUUGCCUUUCAUGUGUAUAAUUUACUUUGUGUAUUUUUCACAUAUGAUUUAUUUGUUGGGUCUGUUGUUGCGCUUAUUAUUAUUGAGUUAAAAGUUGGCCUAUAAAAGGUAAGUCGUCUAUGGCUAGAUACCUAAAUCUCAAAAGAGAAAUAUUCAAUGUAUUAAGAUAAGUGAGAGGAUCUAUUAUGAGUAGUAAAUUUUGUUACAAUGUAAUAUAAUUAUGGAGAUCAGCUGCUUUUCUCUCUAGAUCAUUGCCAAGUUCUAUUAAAAAUUAUGUUGCAGACAUUGGGAGUGUCAGACACUGCAAAGACGACUGAACAUAAAUUAUGUAUUCCAGAGAGCCUUUGAUUUCACAGAUGUACGAAGGAUUUGGCAUAGUUGUCCUCUGGUGAUUAAAAUAUUCAAAUAGCCCAUAAUUUACUACUAAGGACUGAAAACUGGACUGGGAUUCAGAAAACCUGGAUUUCAUUUCUAAGGCUGUGUGAGCCUUGAUAGAGGACCUUGAGCAGUCGCUUCUCCGUCUUAUUUUUCUCAUCUAGAAAACUAUGUUUGACUCUACUGAUGAAAAGCAAAACAUAAUAGAUGUAAUUAUUAUGAUUUUUAUUUGUUGUAAAUAUUAUGCUGUACUUCAUAAAAUAUCUUUUUUUUUUUUUUUAAGAAGGAAUUUCAGGUCUCUUUCAUGAAAUAUGUGAUACCAUAAUUAGUGGAUGUAGCUGGUUUUCUUCCAUUGCUGAUUCUGAUUUUAGGAAAGUAUGUAACUUUGAAAACAAAGCAUGUGAUGUGGAGUUUUAUUACAGGUUUCAGUUGCUUGUGAGUACUUGUCAAUACUCUAAUUUUCCAGACAAGAGGUGGUUCCAGUAUCUAAAAACUUGUUGCUAUAUUUGCAAAGUAAAACAGUAUUUAUAUUCCCCAUAAUAUUGAUUAAGCAAUGAAAAAUGGUAUUAGAAAUUGUUUAGUCUCUAAUUCAAUCACCAACACAGAAAGGACAACGUGAUUAUGGUAAGACUACUGUUGUCUGAGCUCUCUGUGUAUCCUAUCCUAUGUGGCUCAAAGUCAUGGGCUCUGCGGUGCAACUCCUGAAGCAAGCUGCACAAGCCAGGUGACAAGUAUCAGCUCCUACUCCUCCUUUCAGGACUGAAUCCAUCCAAAAUGCUAAAAAGCAGCUCUGCAGUUGAAAUGGUCAGUAACCGACAAAGAGAAAUCAGAAGGGAGAAGAGAAUGUUAUCUUUCAUGGCCUGAUUCCUAUUCAUAAGGACUCAAGAGUCAGGCAAAGGUCUCUCAUGCAAAAGGUGUGAGUUUAAUGUUUAAUUUAUCUUCUAAAUGCAUUUUUUUUUCCUUCCCCUGUUAUCUUCAUCUUUUCACCUUAAUGUUUUCUUUCUUAACUAGCAAGAAAUUUUUAAGGCUUAGGCAGCAGAAUGGUUGGUGGAGUUUGCCAGAAAUUUGCGAAAUGCAGACACUUCUGUUUCCUACAUGUUACUGUUUUUCAGAGUGCUCUGACAGAUACAGCUGAUACAGGAAAAUGCGCAGUCAUAUCCCAGUGGAUCUGUGUUACCCGGCCCUGCCCUGGCUGUUGUGUCAAAUCACUCCAAACCUUUCCUUUCCCAUGCCAAACUGAGUGUGCCUGGCAUGAAGUCAGGCGGGGCUGUUUCUUCAUUACCAGACAGGGCUGGAGAGAGAUCAGCAGUAGUCAUUAUGAAUGCUUUUUAGUUCUAUCUCAGACUCCUUUCUCUCUUUUUCCUCUACUACUGCAGAGAAGAUACUGCAGAGAAAGGCCUCUGACUUUAUUGCAGUAGCUCAGCUAAUUGUAAGAGGAACACAGCAAGUGUUGGGGGUUAACUCUAAUUAAAUGCUCUGGAGAUCUUUC
ensembl:lncRNA